AGGCCUCUGCCUGUUUACUUCUAGAUGCCAUGGAGGGAGGUGCCCCCUCUGAAGGCCUCUGCCUGUUUACUUCUGGAUGCCAUGGAGGGAGGUGCCCCCUCUGAAGGCCUCUGCCUGUUUACUUCUAGAUGCCAUGGAGGGAGGUGCCCCCUCUGAAGGCCUCUGCCUGUUUACUUCUAGAUGCCAUGGAGGGAGGUGCCCCCUCUGAAGGCCUCUGCCUGUUUACUUCUGGAUGCCAUGGAGGGAGGUGCCCCCUCUGAAGGCCUCUGCCUGUUUACUUCUGGAUGCCAUGGAGGGAGGUGCCCCCUCUGAAGGCCUCUGCCUGUUUACUUCUGGAUGCCAUGGAGGGAGGUGCCCCCUCUGAAGGCCUCUGCCUGUUUACUUCUGGAUGCCAUGGAGGGAGGUGCCCCCUCUGAAGGCCUCUGCCUGUUUACUUCUAGAUGCCAUGGAGGGAGGUGCCCCCUCUGAAGGCCUCUGCCUGUUUACUUCUGGAUGCCAUGGAGGGAGGUGCCCCCUCUGAAGGCCUCUGCCUGUUUACUUCUGGAUGCCAUGGAGGGAGGUGCCCCCUCUGAAGGCCUCUGCCUGUUUACUUCUGGAUGCCAUGGAGGGAGGUGCCAUUACAUCACUCUGUGCAGCGCUGGAAAAGGGAGGGUAUAUUACUGAAAUGUCAACGUUUACCAGUAAACUACCAGCGUUUUGGUAACGUUUAAGGAUUUUAUGUCAUUUUUUUCACAAGACAUCUAGUAUCCCUUUUGGGUCCUUCAGAUUAUCCCAGAUGUGUGUAAUUACCUCCGGCUCUCUGUGUGGCAUUAUCGCAUGUCAAAUAUUCAAAGUUAAUUAAGAUAUAAUAAUAAUA